GUCUACGGCCAUGCCACCCUGCAUGUGCCCGAUCUCAUCUGAUCUCAGAAGUUAAGCAGGGUUGAGUCUGGUUAGUACUAGGAUGGGAGACCACUUAGGAGGAUGAGGUGCUGUAGGUG
rfam:Pteropus alecto contig54227, whole genome shotgun sequence.